UACAGAGGGGGCAAGCGUUGUUCGGAAUUACUGGGCGUAAAGGGCGCGUAGGCGGCCUGCUAAGUCGAACGUGAAAUCCCCGGGCUCAACCCGGGAACUGCGUCCGAUACUGGCAGGCUUGAAUCCGGGAGAGGGAUGCGGAAUUCCAGGUGUAGCGGUGAAAUGCGUAGAUAUCUGGAGGAACACCGGUGGCGAAGGCGGCAUCCUGGACCGAUACUGACGCUGAGGAGCGAAAGCCAGGGGAGCAAACGGG
rnacentral:rRNA from 1 species